rnacentral:rRNA from 1 species
UCUUAGUGGCGGACGGGUGAGUAACGCGUGGGUAACCUGCCUUAUACAGGGGGAUAACACUUAGAAAUAGGUGCUAAUACCGCAUAAGCGCACGGGGCUGCAUGGCCCAGUGUGAAAAACUCCGGUGGUAUAAGAUGGACCCGCGUCUGAUUAGCUUGUUGACGGGGUAACGGCCCACCAAGGCGACGAUCAGUAGCCGGCCUGAGAGGGUGGACGGCCACAUUGGGACUGAGACACGGCCCAAACUCCUACGGAAGGCAGCAG